rnacentral:misc_RNA from 1 species
GGCUAUUUACUCUUUUUUCUUCAAAAUCUUAAACUGCAUGGGCCUAUCAUCUCUUUGCCUGAUUCUUAGAAAGGUAAAUAAAGUCUUCAGAAACAAGAAGCUCAAGUCCAAGGCAUCUUUUAGCAUGGAAGGUUGCUUGCUACCGAUUGUUGGUAUGGUAGAGGUUGUUACACCAAAGAUAAAAUGGAAAAUGAUCCAGUUAGUUACCCAGGUCAUUUGGAGUGAGCCUAUUUAAAUCAGGUGCCUUGUUUUUGCUAUUGAUUUGUUAGUGAUUAAUCAAAGUGCAUGCCUUGAAAUUAGAUGAUCUCAAUGGAGCC